AAAACGACACUCGACAACGGAUAU
rnacentral:rRNA from 1 species